GCCGCGGUGGCGAAAUGGUAGACGCGCUACCUUGAGGUGGUAGUGCCCGAAAGGGUGUGGAGGUUCAACUCCUCUCCGCGGCACCA
rnacentral:tRNA from 2 species